rnacentral:rRNA from 1 species
UACGGAGGGGGCUAGCGUUGUUCGGAAUUACUGGGCGUAAAGCGCACGUAGGCGGCUUUGUAAGUUAGAGGUGAAAGCCCAGGGCUUAACCCUGGAAUUGCCUUUAAGACUGCAUCGCUAGAAUCGUGGAGAGGUGAGUGGAAUUCCGAGUGUAGAGGUGAAAUUCGUAGAUAUUCGGAAGAACACCAGUGGCGAAGGCGAAUCUCUGGACAGUUACUGACACUGAGGCACGAAGGCCAGGGGAGCAAACGGG